GCGAGCUUAGCUCAGUUGGGAGAGCGUUAGACUGAAGAUCUAAAGGUCCUUGGUUCGAGCCCGAGAGUUCGCA
rnacentral:tRNA from 2 species